UCAGCAAAAAACUAUCUUUCCUCUUCUGAAAAGGAUCAAAUCUAAGAAAAAAUUCAAAAACAUUCUAAACCUCUUAUUCUCAGGUUUUCUAUAAGUUGAUAACAUGGUUUGAAUAAAAAAUCUUCCUAAUUCUCUAGUUGGAGUUCCUGGUUUAAAGUUGGUUUUUAGGUUGCCAUCUGAAUCUCUGGACCAUUUUUUUUUUUGGUUGUUGCUGUUGUCUGCUGUUGAACUUCAAUUCUUGGAUAAAGUUCUAUUGCCUAUUUUGCUGCUAAAGGUACAAACCCUAGACUCCUAUGUUUGGUUGGUUCCACCUUUGUAUCCCUUAAUGCUUUAUGUGUUUGUUGUGAUGUAGUAAUCAUGUGAAGUUAUGGUUGGUUUCGAAAUGGAGACCUUUUCCACAAUUGUCUCUAAUAUGUUUUUUUUUUUUUGUGUUUGAGAAUCUAUUUGGAUAUUCUGGGAUGUUUGAGAGCAAGGCAUAACUAUAAAGGUGUAUUUAAGGCUAUCAAAAGUUGUUGACAGUAUGUUCAUGGUAAUAUAAGGUCUAAAUCAGUUCAUAUGUGUCCCGACUCAAAAUUCACUAAGGGUCGUGGUGGCGUCGGACACUGCUAUCAGGCAAGCCAACCAAAAUACUUAAUGACAUCCCAAUUUUUGUAUUGUCUCAAAUCAUUUGUCUUUAUACAUUAAAUAACGAAUAUUAAAAUUUAAAGAAAUAACCGUGAAGUCAUUAACUAAAAUUUAACAUUUAAUAAUCCAAAAAUCCUCCUAGAACCCGGUGUCACAAGUGCAUGAGCAAAUUCUAAGAAAUAAUGUAAUACAACAAUCGUCCGGAAUACAACGUUAGAACGAAAUAAUAAAUACAAAACUGAAAGAGACUCUGUUGGUUGUGGGUCGUCUCGAGAAGUGCAACUCACCUAAGUCUCCGUAUCAACUGUGUUGCUACGCCCAGUAGGCCACUAGAGAUGCAUAUACAUGUGCAACAAAAAUACACAGAAGUGUAGUAUGAGUACGAAAAUAACGUGUACUCAAUGAGUAUCCCGCCUAAUCUCGAAGAAGUAGAGACGACUUGGUCAACUUUGACCUUUACUAAUAGUCCAAUAAUGAUUUAUCCGUAAUAUAUUAAACCGUGGAUUUUUAUAAGCAUGAUUAUAAUUCAAUGGGUUGAAGCAAAUAAACAAUCCUUUCUUUUAUAUAAAAUCACUCUUUUUCAUCAUUUAUACAUAUAUUAUUAAGCUAGAAGAGGCAUCAACAACUUCAAUAAGUUUCAGGGAAAGAAUACCAGCAUGCGCAAAUAACCAUCAUGGGACGUACGGCCCGAUCCAAUAUAAAAGUAAAUUGUACACAGCCAAGGGUCAAACGACUCGAACCAUAGAUGCAUCUAUUACCCCGCUCACAAAUCAUCCAUGUGAUGCGGCCAAAUAUAAAGAAACAACACCCUGCUCGCGAAUCAUACCUGCGACGCGGGCACACACACACACACACACACAUAGUCAAACAGUCAAUUAAGAGUUUAUCGGGAAAAUGUUCAUUUCAAAUAAAGCCAAUUUUUCCUUUAAUGAUUUAAGAAAAAUAAGGUUUAAUCCUUUUAAAAUUCAUUUGCUGAUUUGAUGUGAUUUAAGUAAUUCAAGCUGUUAAUAAGUUUAUAAUUAAUCCAAGAACAACAUGCAUUUGGGUCCUAAGCUACCCGGGCAAUAGCAUAAUAGUAGCUACGCACAGACUCUCAUCACCUCGUGCGUACGUUGCCCUUAAAAAUAGGAGCACAUAACCAAUUAAUUUACCUAUGGGGACAUUUCCCUCUUACAAGGUUAGAAGGGAGACUUACCUCGCUACGAAGAUCCAUAACCAGCAUUCCACGCCCUUUCAAAUACUCGAAUCGAUGCACAACGCUCCAAAGCUAGCCAAUAAUUAUGCAAAUUCAUUAAUAUAUACUCAAUUACUCAUUAUAAUCUGAUUUGUAAAAAUUUCUAACCUCGAUCGAAAAGUUGACAAAAAUUCCCUCGGGCCCACAUGCCCGGAAUUCGAAAUUUUUCGAAGAUAAAGAUUACCCAUAGCCUCACAAACUCAAAUAUAUGAUUUUCUCUAAAUUCCAUACCAAAAUCUCAGUCAAAUUCCAAGAAUACUAAUUUUCUAGGUUUUUCCCACAAACCCCAAAUUUUCUAUAAUUUUCCAAGUCUAAAUCCAUAUAUAAAACCAAAAUCAUGGUCAAAUUCCAAGAAUACAAGUUUUCUAGGUUUUCCCUCAAACCUAAAGUUUUCUAUAAUUUUCCAAGUGUAAAUCCAUAUAUAAACUUUGCAUUUAACUCAAAGCUAGCAUAAAUUACUUAUCUCAUGAUGAGUGAUGAAAAUGGCACCUCAAAGUUUCUCCCUAUCGGCUCCAAUGGAAGAAAAAUUGGGUUGAAAUGAACCCAACCCCGAAUCUUAAAGGACCUCACUACCUCAGCAAUUUCCGUACCUGCGGUUCCUUGACCUCUUCUGCGGCUCCGCAGGUGUGGUUAAAAUACCGCUCAUGCGGUCCUCCCAAGUUGCCCUUUUUCCGCUUUUGCGACCAGCCUUCCGCAGAUGGGGUCCCGCUUCUGCGGAACCUUGACAGCAUCUGCGGUCCACGAACCCCUGACCAAAAAUCCACUACUGCGAUGGAUUGAUCACAUAUGUGGUCCCACUUCUGUGGUCCUGCUUCUGCACUCCUAAAACCGCAGAUGCAGUGAUGACAGAAGCAGCAUACCUUCAGCUAUACUUCAACUUCCAAAUUUGAUCCGUUAACCAUCAAGAAUCCACCCGACGCCCCUAGGACCCCAACCAAUCAUACCAACUAGUCCCAAAACCCAUUUCGGACUUGCUCGAGGCCUCAAAUCACAUCAAACGCUAAAAUCAUGAAUCAACCCCCAAUCCAAGCUUUAUGAACUUUAGAACUUCCAACUUCUACUUUCGAUGCUUAAACUUAUCAAAUCACGUCUGACUGACCUCAAAUUUUGCACACGAGUCAUAUUUGACAUUACAGACAUACUCCAACUUCCGGAAUCGGAUUUUGUCCCCGAUAUCAAAAAGUCCACUUCUGGUCAAACUCUCAAACACUUUCAAAUUUCUAUCUUUAGCCAAACAGCUCCAAAAUAACCUACGGACCUCCGAAUUCACUUCCGAUUGCGCUCCCAACUCCAGAAUCACAAUAAGGAGCUGCUCCCAGACUCAUAAUCCCAAACGGACAUUGAUAUCACUGAAAUACACUUCAACCCAAACUUACGAAAUUUUUUUCAAAAUGCUAUUUUCCACAAUAGGCGCCAAAACGUUCCCGAGUCGUCCACAACCCGAUCCGGGCAUACGCCCAAGUCCAAAAUCAUCAUACAAACCUGUUGGAAUCUUUAGAUCCCAAUUCCGAGGUCGUUUACUGAAAAUUCUAAUCCUAGUUAAUUCUUUCAACUUUAGGCUUCCGAAAUGAGAAUUCUCUUUCCAAAUCAACUCAGAACUUCCUGAAACUUAAUUCCGAUCACGCGUGCAAGUCAUAAUACCUGAAAAGAAGUUGUUCAUGGCCUCAGACUGUUGAACAAUGUGCUAGAGCUCAAAACGACCGGUCGGGUCGUUACAUUCUCUCCCACUUAAACAUACGUUCGUCCUUAAAUGUGCUGAGAACUACACUGAAGUAGUCUAAAAUCACUGUUUAACUUCUCAUGUACCUUCACGUGCUACCAUUACUUAGUUGAGCACAUCAGCUCGAUCAAUUCUUAAGAUAUUCCCUUUUAUUCAAGCAAAUAAGCCUUAGAGCCCAAUUCCAACAUCCAAAAUUCUAUGCCAGACCUGUUUCCAACAUAAGAUUACCAUAUCAACCACCACACGUUGUACCCAAACAUGGCUGCAUAACUUUGUUGAAUUCACACCUAGCAUCACUUUACUCACCGGACCAUAAUAACAUUUUCUGAUCAACUUAGUCAAAUUCUACAAAUUUGAUGCUCACAUUGCACCUCAUGACAUACACAUGCCUUACUAUAAAUCUUACAAUGCCUCCACAAUGGAGGAGAUAUGCAAAAAUUCAUAAUCAACUACUGAGUCAACCAAUCAUUGAGUCUAUACUUCUGACAAGAAACAUUACCUCAUUUUGAACCAAAUAAUGAUCUUUGCUCCUUAAUAUAUUUCACGUAAUCAGAUUGCACUAAUCCUAAAUCCAACAAUCUCGUCUCACCCAGUACGAACUGCUCAGGGAAUAAGCGUAUUUCACAUAACCAAAUUGUACUGAUCCUAAAUCCAACAAUCUCGUCUCACUCGGUACAAACUGCUCAGGCAAUAAGCCACCCCGACAUGACCAAAAGUCCCAUAUGAUGACAUAAUGUGCCAAUAGGCUACUAAUUAGAAUGCGAUACAGAAAAGGAAAAUUAACUCUAAAAAGGAAAUGCAAUUACCCCGCUCGUGAAUCAUACAUGUGAUGCGGGCACAUAGCUAAUAUGAGCUUUCCUUGGUAAAAUAGAAAACAAAACAGAUCAAACAGAUAUGGGGAACCGUACUGAACAUCACACUAUUGCGGCACACAACCCGAUCCGAGCAACGUAACCAGGGUGGUGUGCCAGUAAAUCCACAUAAUAUAACCAUGGUGGUGUGCCACCCGAUCCGAAUAACCCAUGGCGGCGUGCCACCCCAUCCAAAUAACAUACCCAUGGCGUCGGCCACCCAAUCCAUACAUAGAACUCACACAAGGAUAUGCACAUCGAGCUAAAUCGUGUAUUAUGAUAAAAUACCAAAUUUAUGUCACAAGCAAGCUAGGUGCAUAAUACCAUUUCUCUGGGGAGACACACAACACUAUAAGUUACAAACCCAAGCACAACUAAGGUACGACAUGGAAUCUGAAUCUCAAGAGCCAUCCUACUCAUAUAACAUCAUCUCUACGCGGAACCUCAACGCAUAAGAAAUUUACCAAGCCGUCUCACAACUCAUACAGCGUAAUAUAUCAUUACUUGAAAAAGCUGGCAACAAAAUAACACCCCGACUACCUUCCAUAAGGAGUGUAUUGCUGAGAUGAACAUAUCCGGUCUGAUAUAAAGCCCAUAUUCACUUUUAAAUCAAUCCACUUAUCUUAAGCGGAUUCCUAAUUGCGCCAACUAGGCUAAUAACCUUUCAAAGGUCCGUAAUAACUCUCUUUUUUCUCAUAACACAUAAGAACAACCCUCAUAACCCGAGCAAACCUCCACAGUCCAUAACGCAAUAAACAGAGUGCCCUCCAGGCAUAAAUUCUCAAAUUAAUGAUAUUACCACAAUCCUCAUACUUGGUUUAAAUCCUUAAUCCUUUGGGACAGGCUCCCACAACCUUCCUAAAUAAAUAACGGGUCCGCACAUCCAAACCACCGGUUGUAUUAACGCUGAAAAGUGAUCAAGAAUCCUUAACCAAGAUGCAAAGCCUUUUUCACAAAACACCGAUCUCAUAUGAUACUGACGACAAUAGCAGCUCACUUUAAACAUCGAAAAUCCUUUCAUGCUCAUCCAAGCUCGCGACAUCCUUGUCCACACCGAGCUAUUACCUUAAUCUUUACUUUCAAUUCCAUACCACUCACUGCGCCUAUCACGCCAACAUACAAUAGAAUACGCUUUUCAUUAUAGCUCCGGAACCACUAUUAGGCUAAAACUUCAUCAUAUAAAACUUCCCACUUAACUUUUUUCAGGAGAACCAUAGCAAUACGCGGGUGAAUCCUCAUAGCCAUAGAACAUUCAAAUCCUAAAGCAAUGGUCUAAUCUACCACAACCCUUUCGGGAUCCGCCCAUACAUAACAUGCCAUAAUGGUAGAAUACCUUUGAAUAACAUCAAUUACAAUGGCCAACAAGCCUCAUGGGUAUCGCCACAGAUCCCUUCCAUGAUUGGAUCAUGCUAAAGGAACCAAUCACGAACACCAAUAUGCCAAUUUAACUAUGGUUAAUCAAUGUAUCUUCUUCCAAUUUAUCAUCGAUUGCCUUAGAAGUAAUACUAAGUCCGUUCAACACAUAACAUACUCCAUCUGCACGCAUCCCGAGUGACCUCGAUUCACAAGACCAUGCUGCCUCAAAUCCCAUGAACAAUCUUAUACUUUCCUUAUACGCACAUUCGUACCCGCAACUGAUAUGCCCAUUCUGCUAAUCCUUCUACGAACCUAAAGUCCUUUCUCAGCUUUCUCUCAAGUGUUACACUGCAAGUCAAACAUCAUAGAACAUUCUGGGCCUCCACUCAUAAGCUGCUGCAAAAUCUUGAUUCUUAAUUGUACUUAUAGGCUUGAAAUCAUUAGCACCAUACUUUACUUCCUUAUUGAAUCCAUUAGGACUAUUAUUGAGAGCCACACACUCUGACUUGGUCUCGGAUAUAAUCAACUCCAUAAAUCUUAUAACACAUGAAUACCUCUCGAUGAGGCACCCGACUGAAUCACUCCCCUCGAAACCCACAUCCAUACAAGGCAUGUCCUGAAUCCUUCCCCAAGUCUGAACAUGAGCCAAUAAGGCAACCACAGCACCAUUUAACAAUUUCUUUUGUUCAAAUCACCACUCAUGUUCUUUUCCUGUGGCUGAAUAUAUCCUAUCAAUACGCUAAUAACUAGAACUCGCAAGUGGUUAAUUAUGCAACCCAAUCAUAAGAGGCGGGACUCUCCCACUUAGCUCAAAGCCACUAUUACACAACUCUAGAAUUCACUAGAAUUCCUUAUCUCUUAUUGACAUAACCUUGCGCAAUCAACCGCCUAAAUUCUCAAAUUCUUUCUGUAAAACCCCCUUUUAUACUUUGAAUCAUCAACCACAUUCGCAUGAUUGAUCUCUUUGCUGCAUAGUAGCCCAUACUUCCAAUUAAACUCGUAGACUUCAUUCGCCGGCCACUAAAAUCCCAAAUCAUUCCAAACUCUCCUUAAGGUGCAUAAUCAUCCUACCACCAAGCCCAUAUGCAACAACCAUCACUCUCCCAAUUUGGGAAAACUCGCUUCUUUAAUCAACUACUUGACUUUUGCUUCAUACACCUAGCUUUCUAGGAAUUUUAGCCAUCGUCUGGCCUUUUCUGCACAUCUUUCCUCAUCCUUAAACUAGCUUAAUAAACUAAUUGACCUUUGCUUCAUACAUCCGGCCUUCUAGGAAUUUUAGCCAUCGUCUGACACUUUCCACACAUUUUUCCUCAUCUUUUGCUACUCAGAUGUUGCCUUAAUAAAAUCUAUCUUCAUAGCACUUAAAUCCACAAAUUGCUACUAACUUUAAAUUUUGCUGGAGACCAUAUCUCUUGAGCUGCUAAUAUUAGAAAUGCCGAUUCAACCCUGAACCACCUUACCUUGCGAUAUCUAAUAGUCAUUUCUUCAAUAAUGACAUGCCAUAUUCUGCUCCAAAGGAGAAUUGUAGAAGAUCACAACACCGGCGAACCUAGAACAUUCAACAAGGGCAAAAACACCUCAUCCUAGAAGAAAAUUCCGCCAGGCUAGCAAAUACCGAGUCUCGAUACCUCAUCAACUCAAACCUAAACAUUUUCUGCCCGAUUGUUUUUCCCCUGUAGGGAAUAAAACACUGAAUCUCUAGAUCAUGCACAGAGUAAACCUCCCUUCAAGUCAUUCACUGCCUCGACAUGUAGGCAAACGUCCUACCACCAUGUCAAUACUGCGGAACAAUAAUUCAUAGGCAUCAUGGCAACUUGUGCCUAGCCUCGAGCCCUCUGAAGUACCCUUAAUGGGCUGAAACAAUAAAAUAUUCUUCCAUAAAGAGACGAUAAUAAUCCGAUCAGCUAUACCUAGAGAAACCUCCCGUAUCACAUUUGUAGUGCCAUUAAAAUUCUUCAAUUCUCGAUUUAUAACAAAUGCUUCGAAUUGCAUAAGAUUGACUAGGAAAGGAACAAAGUCAUAAGCCUCACAUGAAUCAAAUCAAACGAUAAGAAAUCAAGAAAGGAAGUACUCUUAACAGUCUUGCAGCCUCCCAAGGAUAAGUACAGAUGUCCCCGUACCAAUCCACGAGACUCUACUAGACAUGCUCAUGACUCGUGAGACCCUAGGAACCUAGUGCUCUGAUACCAUGUUGUAACGACCCAAAAUCCACUAAGGGUCGUGGUGGCGCUGGACAAUACUGCCAGGCAAUCCAACCAAAAUACUUAAUGACAUCCCAAUUUUGAAAUUCUCUGCAAUCAUUUGUCAUUAUACAUUAAAUAAUGAAUAUUAAAAUUUACAAAAAUAACCGCGAAGUCAUUAACUAAAACUUAACAUUUAAUAAUCAAAAAAUCCUCCCAAAACCCGGUGUCACAAGUGCAUGAGCAAUUUCUAAGAAAUAAUAUAAUACAACAAUCGUCCGGAAUACAAAGUUGGACAGAAAUAAAUAUAGAAAAGUGAAAGAGACUGUUCUGGUUGUGAGUCGUCUCGGGAAGUGCAACUUGUCUAAGUCUCCGAUCAACCAUGCUGCUACGCCCAGUAGGCAACUAGGGAUGCAUAUACUUGUGCAACAAAAAUGCACAGAAGUGUAGUAUGAGUACGAAAAUAAUGUGUACUCANNNNNNNNNNNNNNNNNNNNNNNNNNNNNNNNNNNNNGUGUAGCAUGAGUACGAAAACAACGUGUACCCAAUGAGUAUCCCGUCUAGUCUCGAAGAAGUAGAGACGAGAUGGUCAACUUUGACACUUACUAAUAGUCCAAUAAUAAUUUAUCCGUAAUAUAUUAUACCGUGGAUUUUAAUAAGUGAUUAUAUUUCAAUGGGUUGAAGAUAAUAAAAAAUCCUUUCUUUUAUAGAAAAUCAUUCUUUUUCAUCAUUUAUACAUAUAUUCUUAUGCCAGAAGAGGUUGCAAAACUUCAAUAAGUUUCACGGCAAGAAUACUAGCAUCCGCAAAUAACCACCAUGGGACGUACGACCCAAUCCAACAUAAAAGUAAAUUGUGCACAACCGAGGGUCGAACGGCUCGAACCAUAGAUGCAUCUAUUACCCCGCUCGCGAAUCAUCCAUGCGNNNNNNNNNNNNNNNNNNNNNNNNNNNNNNNNNNNNNNNNNNNNNNNNNNNNNNNNNNNNNNNNNNNNNNNNNNNNNNNNNNNNNNNNNNNNNNNNNNNNNNNNNNNNNNNNNNNNNNNNNNNNNNNNNNNNNNNNNNNNNNNNNNNNNNNNNNNNNNNNNNNNNNNNNNNNNNNNNNNNNNNNNNNNNNNNNNNNNNNNNNNNNNNNNNNNNNNNNNNNNNNNNNNNNNNNNNNNNNNNNNNNNNNNNNNNNNNNNNNNNNNNNNNNNNNNNNNNNNNNNNNNNNNNNNNNNNNNNNNNNNNNNNNNNNNNNNNNNNNNNNNNNNNNNNNNNNNNNNNNNNNNNNNNNNNNNNNNNNNNNNNNNNNNNNNNNNNNNNNNNNNNNNNNNNNNNNNNNNNNNNNNNNNNNNNNNNNNNNNNNNNNNNNNNNNNNNNNNNNNNNNNNNNNNNNNNUUAUAUAUAUAUAUAUAUAUAUAUAUAUUUAUAUACACACACAGAGUCAAACAGCCAAUUAAGAGUUUAUCGGGAAAUCUUCAUUUCAAAUAAAGCCAAUUUUUCCUUUAAUGAUUUAAGAAAAAUAAAGUUUAAUCCUUUUGAAAUUCAUUUGCUGAUUUGAUGUGAUUUAAGCAAUUCAAGCUGUCAAUAAGUUUACAACUAAUUCAAGAACAACAUGCCUUUGGGUCUUAGACUACCCGGAUAAUAGCAUAAUAGUAGCUAUGCACGGACUCUCGUCAACACGUGCAUAUGUAGCCCCCACAAAUAGGAGCACAUAACCAAUUAAUUUACCUAUGGAGACAUUUCCCUCUCACAAGGUUAGAAGGGAGACUCACCUCGCUACGAAGAUCCAUAACCGGCAUUCCACGCCCUUUCAAAGACUCAAAUCUAUGCACAACGCUCCAAAACUAGCUAAUAAUUACGCAAAUUCAUUAAUAUAUUCUUAAUUACUCAUUAUACUCCAAAUUGUAAAAAUUUCUAACCCCGAUCGAAAAUCUGACAAAAAUACCCUCGGGCCCACAUGUCCGGAAUCCAAAAUCUUUUGAAGAUAAAAAUUACCCAUACCCUCACAAACUCAAAUAUAUGAUUUUCGAUAAAUUUCAUACCCAAAAUCGUGGUCAAAUUCCAAGAAUACUAAUUUUCUAGGUUUUCCCUUAUACCCCAAGUUUUCUACAAUUUUUCAAGUCUAAAUCCAUAUAUAAACUUUGCAUUUAACUCAAAGCUACCAUAAAUUACUUACCUCAUGAUGAGUGAUGGAAAUGGCACCUCAAAGUUGCUCCCCAUCGGCUCCAAUGGAAGAAAAUGGGGUUGAAAUGAACCCAAUCCCGAAUCUUAUAGGACCUCACUGCCUCAGCAAUUUCCACACCUGCGGUUCCUUGACCGCUUCUGCGGUCCUCCCAAGCUGCCCCUUUUCCGCUUCUGUGACUAGCCUUCCGCCGAUGCGGUCCUGCUUCUGAGGAACCUUGACCGCAUUUGCGGUCCACGAACCCCUAACCAAAAAUCUGCUUCUGCAAUCGAUUGACCGCAUCUGCGGUCCUAGAACCGUAGAUCCGGUCAUGACAAAAGUAGCAUACCUUCAGCUAUACAUCAACUUCUAAAUUUGAUCCAUUAACCAUCCAGAAUCCACUCGAGGCCCCCGGGACCCCAACCAUUCAUACCAACCAGUCCCAAAACCCAUUACAACUUUCUCGAGGCCUCAAGUCAUAUCAAACAACGCUAAAAUCAUGAAUCAACCCCCAAUCCAAGCUUUAUGAUCUUUAGAACUUCCAACUUCUACUUUCGAUGCUUAAACCUAUCAACUCACCUCCGAUUGACCUCAAAUUUUGCACACGAGUCAUAUUUGACAUUACGGACUUAGUCCAACUUCUGGAAUCGGAUUCUAUCCCCGAUAUCAAAAAUUCCACUUUUGGUCAAACUUCUCAAAAACCUUUAAAUUUCUAUCUUUAGUCAAACCGCUCCAAAAUGACCUACGGACCUCAAUAUUCACUUAUGAUCGUGCUCCCAACUCCAUAAUCACAAUACAAAGCUGCUCCCAAACUCGGAAUCCCAAACGGACAUCGAUAUCACUGAAAUGCACUUUAACCUAAACUUAUGAAAUUUCUUUAAAAAUGUUACUUUCCACAAUAGGCGCCAAAAAGCACAUGGUCAUCCAAAACCCAAUCCGGGCAUAUGCCCAAGUCUGAAAUCAUCAUACAAUCCUGUUGGAACCUUCAGAUCCUGAUUCUGACGCCAUUUACACAAAAUUCCAAUCCUAGUUAAUUCUUUCAACUUUAGGCUUCCGGAAUGAAAAUUGCCUUUCCAAAUCAACUCUAAACUUCCUGAAACUUAAUUCCGGUCACGCGUACAAGUCAUAAUACCUGAAAUGAAGCUGUUCAUAGCCUCAGAAUGCUGAACGACAAGCUAGAGCUCAAAAAAAUUGAUCGGGUCGUUACAAUAUUCCCAUGAAACUAUAUCUAAAUCCCUCUCUUAUAACAGCAUAAAACGAUAGUGAAUCUGACCCUUUGAAUGGUCACAUCCAUCCCUUAAAUAGGUGCAUAAAAGGCUUAAUAUAUUCAGUAUGUGCUUAAGUCAUUUCCCUUUUCCCCUUUUUCCUAUUUUACUGAAGUGAGAGCCUUGAAGUAAAUCAUGGUUUGGAAGUUUUUACAUGCCUAUAGGAUUAACCUUGAACAUGGUAAGACCUAUUGAAUGCAUGUCCUUCCUUUACUCAAUUUAGUGUUAGAACUAACUUGAUAACAUUGUAGGUCCCUUCUGAAGAGAUACUCUUUUUUGUGAAUUUAACCCUUUCCACAUGGUCAAAUUCACGAAAAUCUUAGUUCAUUCAAACUGAAGCAGGGGCAGCUUGGG
rnacentral:lncRNA from 1 species